GAGAAAUAAAGACAGCUCGUCGGAUGAUUCAAUGAACACGUCACAUCAACACGUGUGUGACAUGUGUUACUUAUCUAAAUGGAGAAAAACAACAUGGAAGUCAAGUUGUCACACAGUGACAUUUAUGGACUCUCUCUCCCCGCCCCCCUCUCUCUCGCUCUACCCCCAACAUUCCACACAUGCGGAGAAGCAACAAGCUACCAAACGAGCAGCAACAGCUAGCGGCUAUUCUCCGCUGGGGGGGGACGCGGUGCAUUAACGGUGCAAAAGUUUCGAAACACGGGUUCCUGGUGCUGAAUACAGACAAGAGCGACGCCGGGCGAAUCCUGAGACGGCUGCCGGAACCAUGGCUGACAGCUGGCGUUUGUAACGGCGAGUUAUUUGACGUUAUUUGACGCUUCAAAUGUGCGGAAAGUCGCUCGCUCUCGCCUCGUCGCCGAACAAGAUGGACGCAGCGGCAGCAACGCCGUCGUUGCAGGAUCUGACCGCGGUGCCGUCCCCCGAAGCGCUGGGUGCUGCGAUUAAUGGCUACCACUGAAGGCCUGGUCUUGUGUCCCUGCGGGAUAUCAGGCUACCUGUGCUUGGCAGUAAGAGGCCAGCUCCGUGACCUGCCAGCAGCCUCUCCCUCAAUGACCGGCCAUGGCCUCUUGUCAAGCGCACACCGGCUGAUAGGGCUUCUUCUGUUGCUUUCACUGGGACUUUUGUCAGUUGCAGUGAUCUCCAAUGGCAACCUGCUUGCUGUCUUUCUUUGGCGAUUUAGUUUUGGAACGUUUCAUUUUACAGGUAAACGUACUCUCCUUGAUUUGACACUUUGAGAGUCACAUCAAAUCAGUAACAAAAUCGGCCUACUACCACCUCAAAAAUGUAGCACGACUUGGAGGGCUUAUGUCAGCUCAAGACUUAGAAACACUUGUACAUGCCUUUAUAACUAGUAGGCUAGACUAUUGUAAUGGUCUCCUUGCAGGUCUUCCAAAAAAAGAGUAAAUACAAAUCAUGGGAAAGCAUCAUUUAGUUACUACGCAACAAACAGCUGGAAUAAACUUCCUGAACUUUUAAGACUUGCCCCAACUCUGACCACGUUUAAAACAAGACUGAAAACUUUUAUUUUCAGCUUCGCCUUCUGCUAAACUUUAC
ensembl:lncRNA